rnacentral:rRNA from 1 species
GUGUCAGCAGCCGCGGUAAUACGUAGGUGGCAAGCGUUAUCCGGAAUUACUGGGCGUAAAGCGCACGCAGGCGGCGCAGCAAGUUCGACGUGAAAGCUCCCGGCUUAACUGGGAGAGGUCGUUGAAGACUGCUGUGCUUGAGGCAAUGAGAGGGGUGUAGAAUUCCCGGUGUAGUGGUGGAAUGCGUAGAUAUCGGGGGGAAUACCAGUGGCGAAAGCGGCACCCUAGCAUUAGCCUGACGCUCAUGUGCGAAAGCGUGGGGAGCGAACGGGAUUAGAUACCCCUGUAGUCC